CAUCCCUCGUUCCUCAACUUAAUGAAGAAAACAGCCUGCCACGCUCAGAGCAGAGCGCUAAAGUACCGUCUUGGCGAACAAUCAGUCGUUCUGCCACAGACAAUGGAGACAAAUCAAGGAAAAUUCAACCUACAUAAAACAAUUAACCAUUCAAACAUCAGCCCUGUGCGCAGAGGGGAUUGUCUUCUGUGAUGAAUCCUCAAUUUGAGCUAAUUCUUACCAAGAACCGCCCACUUAAACAGGAAGUGACUGUCUGAUUGACAUUUAAAGUGACCAUCCACAGUUCUCUCACCAUAUUCGGACAAUAUUGUGCAUACAGCGCAAGAGAGGAAUCAUCUGAUGUAGAGGUCGCCAGGCCAAUAGCGACGACUGUUGGGGAUUAGCAGAAAGCUGCCAGAGCCGCUGUUUACAUUUGUGAGAUACCCUCAGGUUUCUGUUUACCUCAGAAGCUAUGAAUCCCUGCAGUUAUGUGUCUUUUUCUUUUUGUGUGACUCACCGGCUAAUAUAGAGGGAUUCCGCAACAUGAAGUUAAAUUACAGCUAAGAGCAGCAGGGAAAUGAUGGGAUAUGUCUCUCCUGUCCCACCUU